UACGUAGGGGACAAGCGUUGUCCGGAUUUAUUGGGCGUAAAGAGCGUGUAGGCGGCUCGGUAAGUCCGCUGUGAAAGUCCAGGGCUCAACCCUGGAAUGCCGGUGGAAACUGUCGAGCUCGAGUCCGGAAGAGGCGAAGUGGAAUUCCUGGUGUAGCGGUGAAAUGCGCAGAUAUCAGGAGGAAUACCGGUGGCGAAGGCG
rnacentral:rRNA from 1 species